rnacentral:rRNA from 1 species
GAUGAACGCUGGCGGCGUGCCUAAUACAUGCAAGUCGAGCGAACAGACGAGGAUCUUGCUCCUCUGACGUUAGCGGCGGACGGGCGAGUAACACGUGGAUAACCUACCUAUAAGACUGGGAUAACUUCGGGAAACCGGAGCUAAUACCGGAUAAUAUAUUGAACCGCAUGGUUCAAUAGUGAAAGACGGUUUUGCUGUCACUUAUAGAUAGAUCCGCGCCGCAUUAGCUAGUUGGUAAGGUAACGGCUUACCAAGGCAACGAUGCGUAGCCGACCUGAGAGGGUGAUCGGCCACACUGGAACUGAGACACGGUCCAGACUCCUACGGGAGGCAGCAGUAGGGAAUCUUCCGCAAUGGGCGAAAGCUUGACGGAGCAACGCCGCGUGAGUGAUGAAGGUCUUCGGAUCGUAAAACUCUGUUAUUAGGGAAGAACAAAUGUGUAAGUAACUAUGCACGUCUUGACGGUACCUAAUCAGAAAGCCACGGCUAACUACGUG